rnacentral:rRNA from 1 species
UACGUAGGGUGCGAGCGUUUAAUCGGAAUUACUGGGCGUAAAGCGUGCGCAGGCGGUUUUUGUAAGCCAGAUGUGAAAGCCCCGGGCUUAACCUGGGAAUGGCAUUUGGGACUGCAAGGCUUGAGUGCGGCAGAGGAGACUGGAAUUCCUGGUGUAGCAGUGAAAUGCGUAGAUAUCAGGAGGAAUACCGAUGGCGAAGGCAGGUCUCUGGGCUGACAC